rnacentral:tRNA from 1 species
GCCAUCAUCCUCGCGCUGUACAGGCCAUUCCGGGGGCUUCAUGGCGUUUUCGAGCGAAGUGGCGACCGGUUCGCGUCAACGAAACGCACCAGGACGACGGCAAUUUGACAAGCGCGCGCCCUGUCCUUAGUAACCGCACCCAAUGCCCAGGUGGCGGAAUUGGUAGACGCGCUGGCUUCAGGUGCCAGUGGCUUAACGGCCGUGAAGGUUCGAGUCCUUUCCUGGGCACCACUCGCUCUCAAGCGAUCGAAAUCUCGAUGGCAU